CCGCCGGCGACCGGCGCACGGGUGAGUAACACGUAUGCAACCUGGCCGUGACAGAUGGAUAACCGGGAGAAAUCCCGCCUAAUACAACAUAAUGCCGGGAGGGGACAUCCCCUGCCAGCCAAAGGGGGCGACCCCGGUCACGGAUGGGCAUGCGGCGCAUUAGGUAGUUGGUGGGGCAACGGCCCACCAAGCCGACGAUGCGUAGGGGUUCUGAGAGGAAGGUCCCCCACAUUGGAACUGAGACACGGUCCAAACUCCUACGGGAGGCAGCAG
rnacentral:rRNA from 1 species